rnacentral:rRNA from 1 species
AUUGAACGCUGGCGGAAUGCUUUACACAUGCAAGUCGAACGGCAGCACGGACUUCGGUCUGGUGGCGAGUGGCGAACGGGUGAGUAAUGUAUCGGAACGUGCCCAGUUGUGGGGGAUAACGUAGGGAAAAUUACGCUAAUACCGCAUACGAUCUAUGGAUGAAAGCGGGGGAUCGCAAGACCUCGCGCGAUUGGAGCGGCCGAUAUCAGAUUAGGUAGUCGGAGGGGUAAAGGCCCACCAAGCCAACGAUCUGUAGCUGGUCUGAGAGGACGACAAGCCACACUGGAACUGAGACACGGUCCAGACUCCUACGGGAGGCAGCAGUGGGGAAUUUUGGACAAUGGGCGAAAGCCUGAUCCAGCCAUUCCGCGUGCAGGAUGAAGGCCCUCGGGUUGUAAACUGCUUUUGUACAGAACGAAAAGGUUUCUACUAAUACUAGGAGCUCAUGACGGUACUGUAAGAAUAAGCACCGGCUAACUACGUGCCAGCCGCCGCUGUAA